CUCCGUCUCAUCCGGUUCGUAUCCACCGGGCACCACGUAGUCGGGCGGCCGAUCGGUGCUGCACAUCUCACAGCCCGGCCGCGUGGGUUUGUUGAUGAAGGUGCAUUUGGGACACGACCAACCCGCCGGCACCGGUGAGGGCAGAGAUGUGGCGGCGGGUGCUGUCUGGGGGUUGAAAGCGUCGCUGAUCUGCAUGGUGUCCAGGUGGUGGCUGAUGGCACCCAGGUCCAUCUGCCGGUGGGCUUUCCUACCCGCCGCGCCGGGCACCGUGCCGUACUUCCUCCUCUCCUCCCC
rnacentral:lncRNA from 1 species